rnacentral:rRNA from 1 species
GACGAACGCUGGCGGCGUGCUUAACACAUGCAAGUCGAACGGACAGGCCCUGCUUUUGUGGGGUGCUCGAGUGGCGAACGGGUGAGUAACACGUGAGUAACCUGCCCUUGACUUUGGGAUAACUUCAGGAAACUGGGGCUCAUAUCGGAUAGGAGCUCCUGCUGCAUGGUGGGGGUUGGAAAGUUUCGGCGGUUGGGGAUGGACUCGCGGCUUAUCAGCUUGUUGGUGGGGUAGUGGCUUACCAAGGCUUUGACGGGUAGCCGGCCUGAGAGGGUGACCGGCCACAUUGGGACUGAGAGACGGCCCAGACUCCUACGGGAGGCAGCAGUGGGGAAUCUUGCGCAAUGGGCGGGAGCCUGAUGCAGCAACGCCGCGUGCGGGAUGACGGCCUUCGGGGUGUAAACCGCUUUCGCCUGUGACGAAGCGUGAGUGACGGUAAUGGGUAAAGAAGCACCGGCUAACUACGUG